UGGGGAAUAUUGGACAAUGGGCGCAAGCCUGGUCCAGCCAUGCCGCGUGAGUGAUGAAGGCCUUAGGGUUGUAAAGCUCUUUCGCCGACGAAGAUAAUGACGGUAGUCGGAGAAGAAGCCCCGGCUAACUUCGUGCCAGCAGCCGCGGUAAUACGAAGGGGGCUAGCGUUGUUCGGAAUCACUGGGCGUAAAGCGCACGUAGGCGGAUUGUUAAGUCAGGGGUGAAAGCCUGGAGCUCAACUCCAGAACUGCCCUUGAUACUGGCAAUCUCGAGUCCGGAAGAGGUAAGUGGAACUGCGAGUGUAGAGGUGAAAUUCGUAGAUAUUCGCAAGAACACCAGUGGCGAAGGCGGCUUACUGGUCCGGUACUGACGCUGAGGUGCGAAAGCGUGGGGAGCAAAACAGGAUUAGAUACCCUGGUAGUCCACGCCGUAAACGAUGGAGGCUAGCCGUUGGCGAGCAUGCUCGUCAGUGGCGCAGCUAACGCAUUAAGCCUCCCGCCUGGGGGAGUACGGUCGCAAGAUUAAAACUCAAAGGAAUUGAC
rnacentral:rRNA from 1 species